rfam:Myotis lucifugus cont2.34437, whole genome shotgun sequence.
GCUGGUUUGGCUCAGUGGAUGCAGCUUCAGCCUGCAGACUGAAGGGUCCUUGGUUUGAUUCCAGGAAAGAGCA